rnacentral:rRNA from 1 species
CCUACGGGACGCAGCAGUGGGGGAUAUUGCACAAUGGGGGAAACCCUGAUGCAGCGACGCCGCGUGGGUGAAGAAGUAUUUCGGUAUGUAAAGCCCUAUCAGCAGGGAAGAAAGAAGACGGUACCUGACUAAGAAGCCCCGGCUAACUACGUGCCAGCAGCCGCGGUAAUACGUAGGGGGCGAGCGUUAUCCGGAUUCACUGGGUGUAAAGGGAGCGUAGACGGCCGUGCAAGCCAGGAGUGAAAGCCCGGGGCCCAACGCCGGGACUGCUCUUGGAACUGUGCGGCUGGAGUGCGGGAGGGGCAGGCGGAAUUCCUGGUGUAGCGGUGAAAUGCGUAGAUAUCAGGAGGAACACCGGCGGCGAAGGCGGCCUGCUGGACCGCGACUGACGUUGAGGCUCGAAAGCGUGGGGAGCGAACAGGAUUAGAUACCCGUGUAGUC